rnacentral:rRNA from 1 species
CGAACGGGUGAGUAACGCGUGAGGAACCUGCCUCAAAGAGGGGGACAACAGUUGGAAACGACUGCUAAUACCGCAUAAGCCCACAGCUCGGCAUCGAGCAGAGGGAAAAGGAGCAAUCCGCUUUGAGAUGGCCUCGCGUCCGAUUAGCUAGUUGGUGAGGUAACGGCCCACCAAGGCGACGAUCGGUAGCCGGACUGAGAGGUUGAACGGCCACAUUGGGACUGAGACACGGCCCAA